rnacentral:rRNA from 1 species
AACGAACGCUGGCGGCAUGCCUAACACAUGCAAGUCGAACGAGACCUUCGGGUCUAGUGGCGCACGGGUGCGUAACGCGUGGGAACCUGCCCUUAGGUUCGGAAUAACUCCCCGAAAGGGGUGCUAAUACCGGAUAAUGUCUUCGGACCAAAGAUUUAUCGCCUUUGGAUGGGCCCGCGUUGGAUUAGCUAGUUGGUAGGGUAAAAGCCUACCAAGGCGACGAUCCAUAGCUGGUCUUAGAGGAUGAUCAGCCACACUGGGACUGAGACACGGCCCAGACUCCUACGGGAGGCAGCAGUGGGGAAUAUUGGACAAUGGACGAAAGCCUGAUCCAGCAAUGCCGCGUGAGUGAUGAAGGCCUUAGGGUUGUAAAGCUCUUUUACCCGGGAUGAUAAUGACAGUACCGGGAGAAUAAGCUCCGGCUAACUCCGUG